rnacentral:rRNA from 1 species
AGUGAACGCUGGCGGUAGGCCUAACACAUGCAAGUCGAACGGCAGCACAGUAAGAGCUUGCUCUUACGGGUGGCGAGUGGCGGACGGGUGAGGAAUACAUCGGAAUCUACUUUUUCGUGGGGGAUAGCGUAGGGAAACUUACGCUAAUACCGCAUACGACCUACGGGUGAAAGCAGGGGAUCUUCGGACCUUGCGCGAUUGAAUGAGCCGAUGUCGGAUUAGCUAGUUGGCGGGGUAAAGGCCCACCAAGGCGACGAUCCGUAGCUGGUCUGAGAGGAUGAUCAGCCACACUGGAUCUGAGACACGGUCCAGACUCCUACGGGAGGCAGCAGUGUGGAAUAUUGGACAAUGGGCGCAAGCCUUAUCCAGCCAUACCGCGUGGGUGAAGAAGGCCUUCGGGUUGUAAAGCCCUUUUGUUGGGAAAGAAAAGCAGCAGGUUAAUACCCCGCUGUUCUGACGGUACCCAAAGAAUAAGCACCGGCUAACUUCGUG